rnacentral:lncRNA from 1 species
AUGGGACACCAGAGGUGUCUGCCACCAAAUCAGAAGAGGAAACUAUGCUGGAAUUGGACAGGAACGCCCCUCACUCAGCAGCAGGUGGACAUGGCUGUGGGUCAGGACCUCCUGCUUCAUGGGGAAGCCUUGUCUGUCAUCAGCACCACUGAUUUGGACCACGUAACCCUUCUAUUCUUCACUCAGAGGAGCAUCAGCAGCGUCUGUGGCCAUACACUUCUCAUAACAGGUAUGAAGUUUGAGUUCAUCAUCUACUUCAAUGAGUUUCUGGCAGCCAGUAGCUGGGUAAAAGAUGUUCAGCUUCAUCUUGAAGCAGCCUACUGCCUCUGAGGUACUAGAAAAAAGAACAAUUGUGAUCCUAUGUUUUACUGCAUCAUGGCUCUCCUCCCCCAAAUAAGAGGAACCUUCCCACUCUAUGCAGCAAUGCCUCAGUGAUAAGGAGCAAUAAAGAUUCAUGAAUUCUCUAUUUAUUGGUGCUG